rnacentral:lncRNA from 8 species
UUUUCGUUUUGAGUCAUGUAGCUAGCUAAUGGAGCCCAUUAUCAUGUUGUUGUAGAAGAUCUGUCAUGAUCAUAUUGUAGAAGAUCUGUGUCGCAAUGACAGAAAGACAAACACAAAUCUUAGAUCUUUUAUUUUAAGAUAACUUUUGGGCACGCGUUGUAACAUUUGUAUCUGGCUAAAUCUUUCGGGGGGGGGGGGGGGGGGAAAUACAAGUCAAUAGGCUACCUAUGAAGCUACGAGGACAGAGAGUGUAGAAGAGAAAACGAACUCGUAUUGUUACAGGUAGAGAGUUUCACUUGAAUGAUCAAAACGGCAAGAGUCAGACAAACGGCAACCCUCAACAUGUCCAACCGGUACAUGUCAACAGCUCGUAGACACGGUUUAGCUGAGGUGCAUCUCUCGACGCCAGGAGCUGUAUCUGGCCAAAUAAACCAGGACUUCUAUAUCUCUCAUCUGAUUCGUCAACUUGAAGACUUGGACAUGUCAAGUGGCGUCAGAGCACAGAAGAUAUUUCCAUCAACACUCAAUUCAAGUAUCUACCUGACCACCUGCCGUAGCCCAUCAGAGUCUGUCCAGAGCCAACCACAGAGAGCCCAGUUCAGGAUGAUCCACAGACGACCAACGAUCAACAUCCAUCAUCUCAACAGCAGGCUACGGCACCCGAGUUUCACCAAACAUAACCAAGGGGAGGGCCGGGACACAAGCUCCAGUGAGUCUCUGAAAAUCACACCUGUCCAGGCGGCUUACACUGUCAAUUCGAGGGACAGGAGAAAGGGCAAUGCAGAGAGGAGGGUAAAGACAUUCUACUGUUGGGGCCCAAUGAAUGACAGAACAGGGCUUUGGUCAGGAACCAGCACUGAUGGCUCAAAGCGAAACGGUAGCAGCACACCGGCGGACAUCCACUCUGAUGCCAGCGAUCUAUCCGACCAAGAGAAAGGGGGUGCCCAGGCCCACGAGUGGGUCACGCCCGAAGUGGAGCUCCGGUUGAGGCCUGAACCUUUCGACUUAGACCUGGACUCUGACUUGCACUUCUCGGAGUCGUCGGAGGCCCAGUCGCCAUUUGCAGAGGUGCUCCCUGCAUCUCUGAAAGUGUUGGAUCUGACCCGGAGUCUGCCCAGCACGGCCGAUUGGGAAAGUCGCCAGAGCCUGCACAUGCGAGAGCCUUCAUUGGUUGCCAUCGUAAGCAGACUAUCUGAGAUGGAGGAUCUGCAGGCGGCCACAGUACAGCGAGAGCUGACCAAAACGGGCCGGUGUCGGCCGGCUACGGCCGUCAGCUUGACCAGGAGCACUUCUCGCUUGAGGAAAGCAGAUUCAGUUGUGUCCAGUGUAACGGAACUGAGCCUGUCUCGCGACUCACGCACUAGGCCGACUUGUGCUCCUUACAAACAGAAUUGCAUCAGGGUGGGCGCAAGGCCACAUACAGUCUUUAAGAGGCCCUGUUCCAGCUCAGCCAAACUAAACAGAACAGAGACCCUUGUCCAGGUCCAGUCUUGGGGUGAGGGAUCGACACCAAAACCUACAGGUUGCACCAAAAUCAGAAAAGCCAAAGCGAGCAAGAAAGGCACAUUGACCUCCUACAGAGUGUCACCACCAAGCUCUGCAAAAAAUAAAACUAAAGCCAGGGACUUGAGAAAGGCUUAA